CCUUUUCCUGGACGCUUCAGGGCUCCGCGGCCUGCGCUAGACUGGAGGGUCCGCGUCACUCUCGCCCUCCUGCUUUCCGCGCUCUCACCCGCUCCCGCCUCCUGAGGGCACGACUUGUGGAGGAGCGCGGGCGGCGGGGCGUGAGCGAGCUGCCUCUGCCGCCAUCUUAGAGAAGGCGAGCGUGGGGUGUGCGUGGGCGCGAGUCGGCCUCCCGCGGUGCCGCCGCAGCGUGGCGCGGAGAGGUGAGGUCCAAGCGUGUCCGGCCCUCACUCCAUAACGAAAAAGCGAGGUCAUCACUCCCUAUCUACAAGGGAUGGGAGUAAGUGCCUGUAGAGAGCAAGAAAUUGCCCUGCCCGGAGGCUGAGAAAGCGCAUUUGGCGGUUCCCCUCGACGGAAGGCGUAGAGGGGCGGGGUAGCUUACACCUGCCUGCGAUACCAUCCUGUUAGUUUCUAGUUCUGUUAGUUUCAGCCCUUAAGUGCUCACCCCUCUUUAAAGACCGAACUGGGAGUUGAGCUCAAGCCCGGAUCCUGUUACCUGCCGUGCUCUCAUCCCCCGUUACUCAGCCUACUGUAGCUGAGGGUCUUGCUGUUUGUGGCUGUAUUGAGAUAGACGAAUGGCUUCCGUCUGUGUUGAAUGUUGUUAACACAACCUGCCAUCUCAAACACCCGUUGAUAAGGCACAGCCUGUAAUGCCUCAUGGUUCAAACAGACUCCUCCAAUUCUCUGCAGACUCGAGUCCAGCAGGCACAUGCCCCCAGGCCCUGCCAAUACCCAAAA
rnacentral:lncRNA from 1 species